rnacentral:rRNA from 1 species
UUAUCUCUGUAGAGUCUGCAUAUCAAUAAGCGGAGGAAAAGAAACUAACUAGGAUUCCCUCAGUAACGGCGAGUGAAGCGGGAAGAGCUCAAAUUUGAAAUCUUCAAGGUUCUACCUUGACGAAUUGUAGUUUAAAGAAGUGUUUUCUGUUGGAGUUUUGGUAAAAGUUCUUUGGAAUAGGACAUCAUAGAGGGUGAGAAUCCCGUAUUUGACCAUUAUUUCCAGCUUUGUGAUACACUUUCAAAGAGUCGGAUUGUUUGGGAAUGCAGUCCAAAAUGGGUGGUAAAUUUCAUCUAAAGCUAAAUAUUGGCGAGAGACCGAUAGCGAACAAGUACCGUGAGGGAAAGAUGAAAAGAACUUUGAAAAGAGAGUUAAACAGUACGUGAAAUUGUCAAAAGGGAAGCGUUUGACACCAGUGUUGUUUUCUCGAAAAUCAAUUAAAAAAGACUGGAUUUUGUGUUGUAUUGACUUUAUCAGCUUUCUGCACUCUUUUCUUGUCUUUUUUAAUGCACUUUUCGUUUAACAAGUCAACAUCAAUUUCUUUUGUUGUAAAAGGGUCAUUGGAAGGUGGCUUUCUUUUCGGAGAAAGUGUUUAUAGCCUUUGGCCUCUGCAAUCGGAGAGAUUGAGGUCUGCAGCGUAGAUCCUUCGGGGUUAGAUACAUUUGUGCUAAGUUAUAGCCUUUCAUAGACAACUUGUUGACUAUGAUCAGUCAUGUAGCUUACUCGCUUAUGCUAUUUUACCUACGCUUAGGAUGUUGAGUCAUCACACAUCUCU